UCGCUGUGAUGACAUUAUUUCCUGCCAUUCGUAGUUUCCACCAGAGGUCGGCAGACCAAAGAUGGUCCAAUCCUUCCUUGGAUGUCUGAGCGA
rnacentral:snoRNA from 1 species